UACGGAGGGUGCAAGCGUUGUCCGGAUUUAUUGGGCGUAAAGAGCGUGUAGGCGGCUAGGUAGGUCCGCUGUUAAAACUCGAGGCUUAACCUCGAGAGGUCGGUGGAAACCCUCUGGCUAGAGUCCGGAAGAGGAGAGUGGAAUUCCUGGUGUAGCGGUGAAAUGCGCAGAUAUCAGGAAGAACACCCGUGGCGAAGGCGGCUCUCUGGGACGGUACUGACGCUGAGACGCGAAAGCGUGGGGAGCGAACAGG
rnacentral:rRNA from 1 species